UACGGAGGUGGCAAGCGUUGCUCGGAAUCACUGGGCGUAAAGGGCGCGUAGGCGGGGAGGUAAGUCGGGUGUGAAAUCCCUCGGCCCAACCGAGGAACUGCGCCCGAGACUGCUUCUCUUGAGUCCCGGAGAGGAAGAUGGAAUUCCCGGUGCAGCGGUGAAAUGUGUAGAUAUCGGGAGGAACACCUGUGGCGAAGGCGGCCACCUGGUUGGAUACUGACGCUGAUACGCGAAAGCGUGGGGAGCAAACAGG
rnacentral:rRNA from 1 species